CUGCUGAGCCGUCGCUUUCACU
rnacentral:miRNA from 1 species